AACACUCGGUGGUCUUUUCCAAAGCUUCAGUCAAAGCAUUCCACUCCCUGGCUUUUUAACUCCUUUGGAGAAGAUGGAUAAGAAGGGGCAUCAACACUGGAAUCAGAAACUGUUAUUCCUCGGCAGAAAAGUCACCCCACUUCUGCAUGAAACUUGUGGGGGCUCUCUCACCGUUUCUUCUAAACAGAUCUCUCCGAAGCUCCCGUUCUCUUCAGUAUACGUGUAACGGAAGUGGGCAUAGGGUACGGCGACCAGCUCAAGGGAGAUCCAAACACUGCACUUUCCUGGGAAUCUCAAAGACCUCUGCUGGAGAUUAACUAGUUGAAUUAUUAAUGCAGUGUGUCACCAGCCACCAAUAGGAGCUGAGACCCACCCUGUUGACCAGCUUUCUGGGGAAAAAAAAAAGAAAAAGAGAAAGAACUGAAAUGAAUGCCGGUCUCCUCCCGCACAGGGCUGUCGUGAAAUUCAAUCAGUCCGGAGGAGCUCUGCACUCAGACAAUGCCUCAAGUUCAGGCCUUUCCGAGAGCAAUCCCUCACAAAGGAGCGAGGAGCCCACUAGCCCUCCUGCCAGGCCAGUGGAACUGCUCUCUGAAUAGAUUUCAAUGAGAAGCCCCUGAACAAAAGACUCUCUGGUACCAGCAUUUCCUGCAGUGAAGAUCCCUGGAAGCUACUUCCUGCCCUCUCCCUCAUUAUAUCUAGAAAUAUUGUCAAUCAUUCUCUACUUUUGUUAGGCAAAGCAUGAAGGGAACCAACUGCAUCUCCUGAUGGCCAAAAAUAAGGAGCAGACCCAUAGUGAACUGGCAGGUGUCACUCAAAUUAUGUUUAGAACGCUGAUGCACGGACUAGUCUAGGCAGCUGCUAAGGCCUAAAAAAAAACACUUAUUUUAUAUUAUUUUAUCUUAUAUCUGUGUACCAUGUGUGUGAAGUGCCCACAGAGGCCAGAAGAGGGCAUUGGAGCACCCACCACCACCCCUGCCGCCACUGCCCCAAACUAGAGGUCAGUGAGCCAUUAUGUGGGUGCUAGACAUUGAACCUAGGUUCUCUACAAGAGGUGCCAAUGUUCUUAACCAAUGCACUCUCUCUCUCCAAGUCAGUCUUUGCAAGUUAGUUGUUAGUAAAAUACAUUAGCUAUUUCUGAGUUAUCCCAACAGUCAUAGGAUGUCCCAUGGUUGCCUUAACCUGACCUUAAUGGGUCCAAAAACUCAGGGUGAGAAUCACAAAUCUAACUCACUUUUGGACACUUUGGCCUCCACAGACUGAUAGAAAAGCAGGCUGGGGGGGAGAAGUGGGAAGCCAGGGCUUCACACACACUCUGAAAACAUAAGCAGGAGAGCCAAGUGGUGAAAAACAGCCUCACCAGUCAGACUUAUCAGCCCGGUCCUGAAACACUCGGACUGCACCAGAGGGGAGUUAGUUCAACCUCUCUGAACUUCUAUAAAAUGGAGCUAAACGUGAUUGGCAUUUUAUAGGCUCCUUGGAGAACCAAAUCAGGAUGUAUGCAUAGCACUUGAUCUGGUAAGAAGCCCACAGCGAAUACCCACUACAUGUAAGCAACUGUCAUUAUUUAGUCAGACUUCAGUUCAAGUCCCCGCAAACACGAGCCAAGUGAGCCUCAGCAAGUCCCUUGCCCUCUCUGGGAUGAAGAGCCAAAGGUCAGCAUUCGCUUCAUUCUGAUUCUGGAAACACGGAGCCAUCGUGGGAAGCAGCUAACGGUCAUGAAGAUUAUCUCUCCUUCGCCCUCUUUAAAUAUCUGCUCUUUCACGGGCCACAUAUCAACGCUUGAUGCUUAGGGCAUUUUUACCGUGACGUGACGUCAUCGGAUUCCUGAGGUCUUGUGAUUGCCUUAUCUUCUUCAAUAUCUCCUGACAUCCAGCACGUGAGUCUCAGUGAUAGGAAGCCACUCAGUUCUGAGAUGGCGACUAUAGGUCUAUCCGGUGGGGGAGGGGAGGAACUAGGCCAAACAGAUGGAUUUGUACUGUGAGGCCUGAAGACUGUAUCAACCACGGUCUAGGAAUAGAAAGGUUUUAAUAUUUCAACUUCUACACAGUUUUCAAGAAACUCUGGAGUGGAUCCUUUUGUCGUUGUUAUUACUGCUUUGUUUUGUGUUUCACUUGGAAAAUUCAGUCGGUAAACUGAACUUAAAGGUGUUACUGAGCAGGGGGGUGGGUCGGACCACCCACCCUCUAUAUCUCAGUCAGAAUACUGUUCUCUGCUCACUGGUCUUAAACCCAGCAACUUAAAGGAUUAAAAAGUCUGUUUCUUCGUGGGAAAAUGCCCUUAAGAACAAAAACGAUGCUGAGGUGUGAUUUCGCAACUAUCCUAAUCCCCAAGACCUCUAGUAAAACUUUUUUUUUCUUUUUACAAAAGUUAAUUAAUCGAAAGUGGUGCAGACGUGAUGGAAGUAAUUUGGCAAUUCCUCAAAAAGUUAAACAUCUGAUAAUAUGAUCAAGCAAUAGCACUCUUCAAUCUAUAGAUCUAUGAGAACUGAAAACACAAGGCCGCUCUUCCUAUUCAUAAAAACCCCAAAUGGGAAUAACCAGUAGAGACAUCAAAUAAUAAGUAUACAAACUAAACAUGGUAUAUCCAUAAAUGGAUUAUUAUCUGGCAAUAAAAACAAAUGAAGCACUUACUGAUACAUGCUAUGAUAUGGAUGGGACUGGUUUUUUU